UACAGAGGGGGCAAGCGUUGUUCGGAAUUACUGGGCGUAAAGGGCGCGUAGGCGGCCUUCUAAGUCGAACGUGAAAUCCCUGGGCUCAACCCAGGAACUGCGUCCGAUACUGGGAGGCUUGAAUCCGGGAGAGGGAUGCGGAAUUCCAGGUGUAGCGGUGAAAUGCGUAGAUAUCUGGAGGAACACCGGUGGCGAAGGCGGCAUCCUGGACCGGCAUUGACGCUGAGGCGCGAGAGCCAGGGGAGCAAACGGG
rnacentral:rRNA from 1 species